GGCCACAAGGCCACCUACCAUGCGGGCUGCGUCAAAGCAGGCCCAGCAUGGCCCACUGCUGUGUCUAUUUCUUGGUAUCAAAAUCUCAAAUCAGUAGAAUCCGGCCCUCACUGACAAUAUAUUUCUACAGCAGCAACACUACCACCUAUCCUUCUGUCAUAGAGGCUCAUCCAUCUGAACCUAAUCAAAUUGCUCUUGGCAUGAGUGAUGGAGCAGUCCAUGUAGUCAAGCCUUCUAAUACCGAGACAACAGAUAACUGCCGCGGCAUAUAAGAUGAGAAAGGUUAGACCACAAGAAGUAUAGACGCAUUGACCUGCACAUAUUUUUUGGUUCUUAGUUUUGAACAUCACCCUUUUCACUCUUUAACCUAGGUGAGAAUUUAAAAAUUUCAAUCUAAUUCUACCAUCUUCCUAGAAGAAACAUGUGGAAUCAGUCUUAUGUAUAGUCAAAUCUUCGGACGAUGAUAAGGAUCUUGAUGAAAGUCUGCUCUAGAAGAUAAUGGCGAUGACACCAUUCCUAGAGAUCACUUUUGGAAGUCUGCUUCGGUAUUCAGCUUUUUGGUUUCAGUUCAUUGUCAAUUUCAAACGAGCCAUAAUGACCACCUGCGUUGUCUCCCUUCUCUACUGUAACCCUAUCAAAAUCACCGACAGUCAUCUGCUUAACUGCCAGAAAUCCAGAAGAGUUUGCCAAGUUGUUACCAAAUCUGUUCAGCAUGUUCAGCGAAAUUGGUGCCAAAUGACUUCAAUAAACUGAGAGCAGAUCACAAGUUGAAAUUGAUGUCGUUUUUGUUAGAUUUUAGUUGAAAAGUGGAUAUAAUGUGAAUCAGGAGCUUUUGUUAGGAUCUAUGUGAUGAAGCUUUAGUUUUAAAACAUGGUUUACUUGAAAUGUUGUUUGAGAAUGUUGACUGCUAGGUAGUAUUCGAUUUGGGAAGGUCCAUCAAGGAUCAUAAAGUGCAAAUACAUUGAAUUGAAUGGCUCCUGAAUAUAUAUCGGUUAUAAAUCUGUUAUGCA